AUUGAACGCUGGCGGCAGGCCUAACACAUGCAAGUCGAGCGGAUGAAGGGAGCUUGCUCCUGGAUUCAGCGGCGGACGGGUGAGUAUUGCCUAGGAAUCUGCCUGGUAGUGGGGGAUAACGUCCGGAAACGGGCGCUAAUACCGCAUACGUCCUGAGGGAGAAAGUGGGGGCUCUUCGGACCUCACGCUAUCAGAUGAGCCUAGGUCGGAUUAGCUAGUUGGUGGGGUAAAGGCCUACCAAGGCGACGAUCCGUAACUGGUCUGAGAGGAUGAUCAGUCACACUGGAACUGAGACACGGUCCAGACUCCUACGGGAGGCAGCAGUGGGGAAUAUUGGACAAUGGGCGAAAGCCUGAUCCAGCCAUGCCGCGUGUGUGAAGAAGGUCUUCGGAUUGUAAAGCACUUUAAGUUGGGAGGAAGGGCAGUAAGUUAAUACCUUGCUGUUUUGACGUUACCAACAGAAUAAGCACCGGCUAACUUCGUG
rnacentral:rRNA from 1 species